UACAGAGGUCUCAAGCGUUGUUCGGAUUCAUUGGGCGUAAAGGGUGCGUAGGUGGCGCGCUAAGUCAGGUGUGAAAUUUCGGAGCUUAACUCCGAAACUGCAUUUGAUACUGGCGUGCUUGAGGACUGGAGAGGAGACUGGAAUUCAUGGUGUAGCAGUGAAAUGCGUAGAGAUCAUGAGGAAGACCAGUGGCGAAGGCGGGUCUCUGGACAGUUCCUGACACUGAGGAACGAAAGCCAGGGGAGCAAACGGG
rnacentral:rRNA from 1 species